AUACACCUAGUAAGGGCGACUGAACAGUGUGAAGCUCACCGUGUGAAUCUGUGUAACCUUGACUCCGGUCUUUUGGUGCACCGAAUUGUGGUCUGAAGAAGUAUUGUCGGUUGCAGUCCCGGACCAAGUCCCUUGGAAAAGGGCAGCUGAGAGGGUGAGACUCCCGUUCUUGUCUGGGAACUGUGUGCCAUGGCACAUGCUUUCAACGAGUCGUGUUGAUUGGGAUUUCAGCACAAAUUCUGUGGUAAAUGCCACAUAAAGCUAAAUAUUGGUGGGAGACCGAUAGCGCACAAGUACCGUGAGGGAAAGAUGCAAAGAACUUUGAAAAGAGAGUUAAAGAGUACCUGAAAUUGCUGAAAGGGAAGCGAAGGAAACCAGUGCCGUAGUGUUGUCAUACUUCCCCUUCUGCUUGCGGAUGGGGCGCUGUGACAGUACGUGGAUCAGCAUCAACUUUACCUUGGACCAAAUGGGUGAUUGGUAGACAGCCCCUUUCGAGGGGCCAGUGCUAGUCAUUUCUGGUCUGAGCGAGGUUGAGGUCAGUCAUUCUGUGCUCGUGAUGCUGAU
rnacentral:rRNA from 1 species